GAGAGACAGAGGCGCCUGCGUGCAGAGGGGGAGAUGAGAGGAUGGAGCAGGCUGAUCCGAGAGAGGCAAUGAAUGAGCCGAUACCGUGCCAUGCCCAGAAUCACACGGGCACCUUCCUGCCAUGCCACUGCCACAAAA